ACCUUUUGCAGAUUGUGGAAGCAUGACUAUGAAUUGAAACAAGACAUGGGAAUGUGGGCCUGUGAGAGGUGAUGACUGCAUGUGGGCCCAACCAGCCAAGUGAAUUGCUGUUGGUAUUUGGGUCUAAUAAUUAUAAUUAAAGACUAUUAGCCUACUAGAAUGGACAAAAUCUGGUUUCUUUGAAUGGAAACACGUCAAUAAUUCCAAAGGCGAACAUUUGAAACACAUCCACAUAGAGAUUGCAACUUCAGGCCAAGAGUAGAUUAGGCAAAGAUCUGGGAGAUCUGGGUGUUUCUUCACCACGGGGCGAGGGUUGGGCGAAUCCCAUCAGCCUUUUCAACACUUGAAUUGUUAACAGUAUUUACUGGUCUAUGAAAAGAGUCUUGAGUCCAUUAAAUGGAAUUAGAGUGUAAUUUAUUUGUCUGGUUCAUUACGCAUUAACCCUGUUUUCGUUUAUUAGGUCAACUUUAUGAGAUGGUCUACUGUCUUUUUUUAAAGCGUUGAUAGGAGGAGGUUGCUGUCUUUGGUUAUCUAGCUGUAUGAGUGAUUAUCUGCCUUCAUAAAGCUAGAUAACCGAAAGUAGAAACGUCCUCCUUAACUGCACAGUGGACAAGUUCACAGUGGAAGAAGUAAACGCGGGAAACUGUGAGAGCGUGAGCUUAAGCCUCUUAAACACACAAUGUCUUUGUGAGAGGCCAGAGGACUGGAGUUACAAGAAGAAGAAAAAAGACCAUCUGCUCCCCUCCCUUCGUCAACGGAAGCAUUUAGUGCCAUCUGUGCCCCCAGAGAAAAGAAAAAAGAAAGUGAGUGAGAGCCUACAUCCCAAGUGCCAAUGGGGACAAAGAGGCUGCCAGUUGCCACGGACCACCAGAUGCUGGAAGACUGAAUGAGGGGUGUGCUUUCAGGAAGCCAUCUUGAUGGAUAAACUGGCUGCUGCUCUCUAAAAUGGCUGUGUUGGCAUGAGGCUCCUGGAAAUUAUCAAAACUGUUGAAAAGGGAAUAAAACAAUUGCUGUCAUCAGCUGCCAGAGGACAUUAGGCUAUUUUUGACUCAGAUGGUCAAUAACAGCACCUCAGGAAUCCAGCAUCUCUUCGAGUUGGUUCACUGAGAAAAUUAAACAAGCGGAUAUUAGAGACGAAUCUACAACUUGCACUGAUAAAUUUAACUGGGUGUUGUAUAAUCAUUGCUAUAAACUGAACAGAAUAAUGACAGAAAAUAAUGUGCCUUACUAUGUGAAAUGUUUACAAUGAAAAUGUACAUUAUUUAAAAAUCUCUCUUGGUUGUUAAUGUGAACGACUCAAAUGUGAUCUAUAUUUUAAAUGUACUUUUAAUGUCUCCUUGUCUUGCAUGAAAUGUAUGCACUUUCUUGUUGAAUAUACAUCCAUGUAAAUGUGCCUGUUUCAUUUAGAUCGAUGUACAGGAAAUUGUACUUAACAAUCAGGAUGUUAUGCAUGGCUUAUAUGUUUAAUAAAGGAAUUAUAU